CCUGUGCAUCACCGGGUGUGGCCCAAAAAGCCAAAAAAAAAAAAAAAAAAAAAAACCACUGGAAGAGCAGGAGGAGGGACCGUCUAGCAGCGGGAGGACUCCUGAGGCCGCUCUCUGAGCUGAGGCAGUCUAGCAGCGGGUUUCACACCCAAGGACCUCACUUCCGGAGAGAAUAUUCCAGCAGAAGAGAGGGAGGGCUGGGGCAGUGUGUGUGUGUGUGUGUGUGUGUGUGUGUGUGUGUGUGUGUGUGUGUGUGUGUAUUGGGGGGGGGUGCUGGAGGGGCACAAGCCCGUGCAUGUGUGUAGAGAACAUGAAGUCCUCCAAGAACCCCCCCUCACACGGUGUCCUGUGAUCGGCUCCUCCGAGCCCCACACACUCACAUCCGUCACGUGUCUUUCUCUGUUAUCCCUCUUUGCCUUGAACAGGCAAGUCCGCAAGGAUCCUGCAGCUGCAGAAACACAGGAAUACUGCUGGACAGCGGCUGUGGGCGGGGGAGGGGACAGGUGCUCCGGAGACCAUAUGGGGGUCAAACCUGGGCCCACCCCGUGCAAGGCAAAUGCUCUACCUGUCGCACUAUCGCUCAGGUAAAACAGGCCCCUCACUUGUUUUUUUUUUUUCCUUUUGGGUCACACCUGGCGAUGCACAGGGGUUCCUCCUGGCUCUGCACUCAGGAAUUACUCCUGGCGGUGCUCCGGGGACCCUAUGGGAUGCUGGGAAUCAAACCCGGGUCGGCUGCGUGCAAGGCAAAUGCCCUCCCGGCUGUGUUAUUGCUCCAGCCCCCCUCCCCCAUCUGUUUUUAAGUAACCCCAGCACCAAAGGCUUUGCUCAAGGUUUGGUUGAGCUGUAUGCAAAGGCCAAUAUGAUAUAAGCUUCUUCCCCGAAGGGCAGCGAUUUCACAGGACUUGGCAAUUAAAACAUUUUAAACCUCUAUGAUAGGAAAAUACUACUCAAAAGGAAUAUGGUGAGUGAGAGAAGAACCUCAGCCCCCCGCCCCCGAGUCCCCACACGCUACAGCCCCGUACCCAUGAAAUGUCCGAAUAUGCAUCUUCAGAGAGAGAGAGAUAUGAAGAGAGAGAUGAAGAGAGAGAGAGAGAGAGAGAGAGAGAGAGAGAGAGAGAGAGAGAGAGAGAGAGAGAGAGAGAGAGCAGGCCAGCCAGGGUCUCCAUGGAGCAGGAAGAAGGAGGGAUCCAUCGGGCACCAGGGGGGGCAUCACGCCUUCCUCUGAGCCAUCCUUAGUGAUGGCGGUGGUGGAACAGUAAUGCUCUCCUAUUGGAUAAGGGCGCUGACCACAAAACUCUAAGAAGGUCGUCAAAAGGACUCCUUGGCACAUUAAGCGGGUGAAUCGUAGAACAGGUGAAUUCAAAAGUGUGAACGCAGGGCUGGAGGAAUAGCACAGCGGGGAGGGAGUUUGCCUUGCACGCGGCCAACCCAGGUUCGAAUCCCAGCAUCCCAUAGGGUCCCCUGAGCACCUCCAGGGGUAAUUCCUGAGUGCAGAGCCAGGAGUAACCCCUGUGCAUCGCCGGGUGUGACCCAAAAAGCAAAAAAAAAAAAAAAAAAGUGUGAACGCCUCCUGUCAACUCCAGGCUGGAGGGAAGGGAAGGGGGCUGUGCUGGGCAGGGGAGCAGGGUCCCAGGUGCCUGCCUGUGACCCUGUUCUGGGAACUGAAGUGCAGCUCACAGAGGCGUCUGUGUCCUGCUGCCUUCAAAGGGGCCUCGGGGCAUCCUGGUCAGAAGUGGAACUUGACGCCAGUUAGCUGGACAAAGAAAGCCUCUUUCUUCCCAGCAGGCCUUGGCUUCCUGGGGGUAUAAUCUAAUCAGCAUAAUACUGGAAAGGCCCUUUCUCCCCCCACUGGCCUGUCCUAAUUGGCAAAAGGAAGUUCUGGGGCAUUCUGGAAUGUUCUGAGGCAGAGGCAGUCCCCAGAUACAUGUCACACAUGUCCAAGACAACAUUUGGGUCCAGACCCCGCCCUUCCCACGCACCACCCGCAAUCUCCGAAGUAUCAGCCUGGCUGUUGGGUCACUUCUGCAGAAUUAAGACCGUCCCCAGCCCCCUGCAUGGGCCCCACAUCCGGCUCCUGGCUGUUUGGCAUUACAUAAGCAUCACCUCGGUACUUGGGGGAGUACUCUUUCUUUUUUAUAUACUUUAUAUUUUUUCCCACUUUAUAUACUGUGGUUUGCAAAGCUGUUCAUGAUGGUUCGUUACAGGUAUUCAAUACUCCAACCCCAAACCCCCCACCACUGUCACCUUCUCUCCGCCACUAUCUCCAUUUUCCCAGCCACCCCUCAAGUUUGCUGCCAUACCAGGUCCUCAUUUAUUUAUGUAUUUAUGUAUUUCUUUAUUUAUUUAUUUUGCCUUUUGGGUCACACCCGGCAAUGCACAGGGGUUACUCCUGGCUCAUACACUCAGGAAUUACUCCUGGUGGUGCUCGGGGGACCCUAUGGGAUGCUGGGAAUCGAACCCGGGUCGUGUUCGCGUGCAAGGCAAAUGCCCUACCUGCUGUGCUAUACUCCAGCCCUCAAUAAUUUAUUUUAUAUUGUUUAUUACCACUAAUUGGCUAACAGAAUCACUGUAUCACUCUUAUCCCGUUGCUCAUUGAUUUGCUUGAGUGGGUACCAGUAAUGUCUCCAUUGUAAGACUUGUUGUUCCUGUUUUUGGCAUAUCGAAUACGCCAUGGGGAGCUUGCCAGGCUCUGCCAUGCGGGCGAGAUACUCUCGGUAGCUUGCCGGGCUCUCCAAGAGGGGCAGAGGAAUCGAACCUGGGUCAGCCUCGUGCAAGGCAAACGCCCUACUCACUGUGCUAUCGCUCCAGCCCUCAAUAAUUUAUUUUAUUUUUAGUUUACUGCUGAUUACCACUAAUUGGCUAACGAAUGAUUUAAAAAAUUCUGUCGAAGGAAACUUGUGGAAAUUGUUGCAUCUCACCAUGGGGCCAUUAAGUCCUUGUCUGAAGGUUGACUAGGCUGUUGUGGCAAGUUCAACCUUGUGGGUCCGUGUGUUGGUGAGUGGCGUUUGGUUGGCUUCUGUGUGGUAUUGCAGCCGGUCUGGUUGCUGCUACAGGGAUGUUAGUAUUGUAGAAUUUGGAGACGCUACUGCACACUCCAGAAAAUCCAGAAUAUGUAUCUGGGCUGGAGGCAUGGCAGUGGCUUUCGGGCGUGCCUGCCGGGGCUUUGUUAGGGCCGGAGGAGCACUCUCUGGGAGUACCCUCAUUUUCUUAUUUUCCUUCUCAGAGGGUGCCAGAGGAUAGAGUAACGACAACUGGAAGUCUCUGUAGGAGCUGCUGCGCUGAGCUCAAAGGAAGAGAGGAAUGAGGCCUGUGUGGGCCACGAGCGUGAGGGGGAGGGCACGGAACUCUAGGUCAGGUUCGGUUAAUUUAACGGGCGUGAGGUUCAUUUGCAACACAUCCACCCUCUUCCUCUCCCGCUCCAUUCUGGGUCCCCCUCAGGUUCUGUUCCUCCACCUGGCAAACAGGAGCACCCUGGCCUGGGAUUCCUGGGGGACCUCAUGCCUUUAGUCCGUUCCUAACUUGACUAACAGGCUGGCUGGUUCUGGUUCUUCUUCCAAAUCUAUUUGGUUUUCUUUUCUUUUUUUUUUUUUUUUGUUUUUUGGAUCGCACAAUGCUCAGAGGUUACUCCUGACUCUGCACUCAGGAAUUACUCCUGGCAGUGCUCAGGGGACCCUAUGGGAUGUCGAGGAUAAAAUGCAGGAAGGUCACGUGCAAGGCCAAAGCCCCCCCACGCCCCCAGCUGUCUUAUCGCUCCAGCCCCCCCAAAUCUGGAGCCUGGGGAGCUACAGAGUAUAGCCUCCAUGCCUUAGCCUAGCUUGGGUUUUGAGCUGCGCACUGAUGCUUCGUGUCUAUCAGUGUCCAGGUGACACCCCGUCCACACUCCCCAUCCCACCGCCCCCCCACCCCCCCACCACCACCCCUGCCGUCCCUGCAUCUCGUAACACCAAGCCCUCCGGCUCCUGCAAGUUUAGAUCCCGCUGCCGGGCAAUUCCGCUCUGGCCACUAGAGGGCAGGCGUGUCCCGUGGCUGCAGCCAACUCCCCGCCAGCUCGGCGCCGGGGCUCAAAGGCACCUUGGCGUCCGCCGGCUCCUCGGAAUACCAAGUGCCUCCAGCCGCCAGCCCCGAGGUCUCUGCAGGGGUGCCGGCUGCAGAGAAGCGUGAAGUGCUUGUCCCGAGACCUCCCUUGGGGUGUGGGGGAGCGGGGGCGGCGUGACACUGCGGCCCCUUCCUGCCCAGCCCCUUCUCUCAGCUCCCCACCCGCAGGGGAGUCCGGACCCUAGUACCCAGGGGUGGGCAGGACGCCGCUUGGCAUCUGCUUCCUGCACCCCGCCGCUCCCCAAAGCAGCCCAAACAGAAAGCGGAACCCAAACCAGCCAGAGGAAUCGCAGGGAGAGGUGCGGGAGAGACGAGUGAACACACCCCUUCCUCGAAGAGCUUGGAUCCAGACAGACGGCCCCCGCAGAGCUGCAGGAUCCCUGGGAGCUCCAAGGGGAAGGGGAAGCUGAGAGACCAGCGUCACCGCGAGGAACUGAAUGACUCACGUGUGACGUGGAUCGCAGUGCCUGGUGCAGAGCCAACACCAAGCAUUCCCCUAGGCCCUUAUAGUACAUGCUAUUGCGGCGUCAUGUGUAUAAACAUGUGUGCUUGAUAAAAACUGCGUCCAUGGUUCUCUCUUCUAUGCCUCAGUUGUGUAAGUUCAUGAUCUGUGGCUUGUGCGAGUUCUUAUCCCGUGUAGGUUCAUGAUAUCUGUGAUUGGAUGAGAUCGAACCAAGGCCUCUCCUGCCCAAUAUGCGAUCUUGAUAUACCUAUGUAUCCUAUCGACACAUGUGUAACACACAUGUGCAAUCAACACAGGCUGCGCGUACCCAUCUAUCAGGUGCAUAGGAAGCAGUUACAGCAAGAACACGAGGGUGUGGAGAACUAGCCCAGGAAUCAAGGCGUUUGUCUCGCACCUGGGUCUUAUCUCCAGGGCUACAUAUGUUCCCCCGAGCACCCCCGGGAGUGAUCCCUGAGCACAGAGCCAGGAGUAGCCCCGGAGCACCGCUGGGCGCGGACCCCAAAGGAAAAUAAACAAGAGCAGCGGCCCCGGAGCAUGCAGAGAACCCCGCCCAGAACGAACCUCGUGAGCUUUCGACGAGACACCAAGAGGGUCUUUCUCUCAGGACCCUCCGUCACAAACCCUCUCUCACAGGGCCCAGGCUCCCAGGGCGAGCAGCUCCCUGGCGCGCAGGUGGGUGGAAGCAGCUGUAUGCCCCCCCACACCCCCCUGCAGUCCCCUCGUGUUUGCAGCCUGCCAGGGCCACCCGGGACGCUGCACCUCUGCCAGGGGGAGGCCAGGUCUGAAGACGGUGUCGCCUGCCCUGCCUCCAAGAGCCACUGGGAGUUGAGGCUGUGUCACACCCUGUCGGGCGCUGUCAGGGCUCUUGUCCGUGUGCUACUCACUCAUGGGUGGCGGGACGAGGGGCUACUACGGGACCCCCCGGGAAAGGAUGGAUGGGGGGGAGAGCAGGACGAAGGGGCCCCCUCGGGCUCCCCUGCACCCAGCGAGUGAGUGGGGCUUUAUAUUUAGCAGAUGACUCACCCUCCAGAGCAUUACUCACUGCCUCCCCGCCCGGGUGCUGCAGGCGGGUGCUGGGGGGACCCGGAGGGGUGAGGUGGGACACGGAGCCAGGGACGCCGCUGGAGAGCAGGGGAUGCUGAGAGCCCCGAAACAAGGCGGGUCCCCCGAGGAGCAGGGCGGGGAGGCUGCCGGGGACGGGGACAGGAGGGGCUGGGUGGCAGGGCAGCCGGGCCGGGCUCCCGAGAAAGAAAACGGGGUGCGGGGGGAACACCAGGUAGGCAAGCGCACAGGGCAGGGCUGGCUGUGGAGGGACAGAUGGGGCGGCGGGGGGGGGGGGGCCCGAGGUGCCACUCAGGAGGUCCAGCGCCCUGGCGGGAGAGAAACGGGCCUGCAGCAAAAUGCUGGGUGGCGAGAGAGGGACGGGGGCUUUGGUGUCGGCCCAGGGCCAUCCUGGGCACGGGACCCCAGGAGCACGGGAAGGGGAGGCCGGGCUGCCCAUGUCCACCAGGGGAAGGACCAGACGUCAGCUUGUGGCCACGGGCCCAGGGAUUCAAGGAGACAUGAAUUAAGGUGCCCAAACUUCACCCGGGAACGUCUCAUACCACACCCCACUUCCGGCGGGGCAGAGACAGGUGACGUCUCUGCUCCAGCCUCAGUUUACCGUUGCUAAACAAGGACAGUGGGGCCAGGAAGAUAGUGCAGUGUGUAAAGCGUUGGCCUUGCCUGCAGCCGAUCCCGGUUCGAUCCCCGGCAUUCCCAGACACGGCCAGAAGCAAUUCCUGAGCACAGAGUUAGAAAUAACCCCCUAAGCAUCACUGAGUAUAGAC